UGGGGAAUUUUGGACAAUGGGGGAAACCCUGAUCCAGCCAUCCCGCGUGUGCGAUGAAGGCCUUCGGGUUGUAAAGCACUUUUGGCAGGAAAGAAACGUCAUGGGUUAAUACCCCGUGAAACUGACGGUACCUGCAGAAUAAGCACCGGCUAACUACGUGCCAGCAGCCGCGGUAAUACGUAGGGUGCAAGCGUUAAUCGGAAUUACUGGGCGUAAAGCGUGCGCAGGCGGUUCGGAAAGAAAGAUGUGAAAUCCCAGAGCUCAACUUUGGAACUGCAUUUUUAACUACCGGGCUAGAGUGUGUCAGAGGGAGGUGGAAUUCCGCGUGUAGCAGUGAAAUGCGUAGAUAUGCGGAGGAACACCGAUGGCGAAGGCAGCCUCCUGGGAUACACUGACGCUCAUGCACGAAAGCGUGGGGAGCAAACAGG
rnacentral:rRNA from 1 species